rnacentral:rRNA from 1 species
AAUGAACGUUGGCGGCGUGGAUUAGGCAUGCAAGUCGAGCGGUAGAGAACUGCUCACUUGGGGGCGUAAGUCGUAAGGCUUACGCCUUCCAGUGAGCAGUUCUUGAGAGCGGCGAAAGGGAGAGUAACGCGUAGUUACGUACCCCGGGGUCGGGAAUAGCCACGGGAAACUGUGGGUAAUGCCCGAUAACAUCUCCGGAUCAAAGGUGUGAUUCCGCCCUGGGAGCGGACUGCGUUGUACUAGCUUGUUGGUAGGGUAAUGGCCUACCAAGGCUAUGAUGCAUAGCGGGUGUGAGAGCAUGACCCGUCUCACUGGGACUGAGACACUGCCCAGACACCUACGGGUGGCUGCAGUCGAGAAUCUUCGGCAAUGGGCGAAAGCCUGACCGAGCGACGCCGCGUGCGGGAUGAAGGCCUUCGGGUUGUAAACCGCGAAAGUAGGGAGGAAGGCCCCGUGAAGAACGGGUUUUGACCAAUCUACAGUAAGGACGGGCUAAGUACGUGCCAGCCGCCGCCGUAAAAC